rnacentral:lncRNA from 1 species
CCUGCACCCUGAAUAUGUUCAUGAGUAUGGAAUCAUGUCAAACUCAAAUAUAUAUUCAUAUUGAUUCUCAAUUAAUCAAUGAUGACUCUGAUGAAGAAGUAUUAGAAACUCUUUCUAAUCUUCUUCUUACUUUUAGCCAAAAGAUUUUUCUCGACUCAUCUAGGAAUGAGAAUACACAAGAUGCAAUCUUCUCUUACUAGGAGUGAUCGAUUCUAUGUUGAUCUACUCAUAAUCUUCAUACACAUUUUAUCAUAUCCAAAACACCCCGUACAUAUUUUAAUUCCAUGCUUGGGUAUAAAUCAAAAUUUAGAUUCAUGUGUA